rnacentral:rRNA from 1 species
UACGGAGGGUGCAAGCGUUAUCCGGAUUCACUGGGUUUAAAGGGUGCGUAGGCGGAUAGGUAAGUCCGUGGUGAAAUCCUGCAGCUUAACUGUAGAACUGCCGUGGAUACUAUCUAUCUUGAAUGUCGUGGAGGUUAGCGGAAUAUGUCAUGUAGCGGUGAAAUGCUUAGAUAUGACAUAGAACACCCAUUGCGAAGGCAGCUAACUACGCGAUAAUUGACGCUGAUGCACGAAAGCGUGGGGAUCAAACAGG